GGCCCCGCCGCCGCCGCCCCUCCCUCAUGGCGGCCGCGAUGUUCCGGAGCCUGUUGGUCUCCGCGGCCCAGCAGCGGCCUCAGGCCCCCGGCCCGGGCGGGGCCCCCCGGGAGCAGCCGCCCGGCGCCCCCGCCCCAGACACGCUGGAGGCGCAGUUCAGCUGCCCCAUCUGCCUGGAGGUGUAUCACCGGGCCGUGUGCAUCGGGGGCUGCGGCCACACAUUUUGCGGGGAAUGUUUGCAACCAUGUCUCCAAGUGCCGUCUCCUCUGUGUCCACUCUGCCGCAUGCCCUUUGACCCCAAAAAGGUGGAGAAGGCCUCCAAUGUGGAAAAGCAGUUGUCCUCCUACAAGGCUCCCUGCAGAGGGUGCAGUAAGAAGGUGACCCUAGCGAAGAUGAGAUCCCACGUUUCAUCCUGCGCUAAGGUUCAAGAGCAGAUGGCCAACUGCCCAAAGUUCGUUCCAGUGGUCCCAACUUCCCAGCCCAUUCCCAGCAAUAUUCCAAACCGUUCCACUUUUGUCUGCCCUUAUUGUGGAGCCCGGAACCUGGACCAGCAAGAGCUGGUCAAGCACUGCAUGGAGAACCACCGCAAUGACCCCAACAAAGUGGUGUGCCCAGUCUGUUCAGCGAUGCCCUGGGGGGACCCCAGCUACAAGAGCGCCAACUUCCUGCAGCAUCUCCUACACAGGCACAAGUUCUCCUAUGACACCUUUGUGUCUGGCCUGUCUGAGGUGGCAGUAAUUGCACAGGUGAGAUUUCUUAUAAUCAUGUGGCUGUUUUGACAGUGUCCAUGAUCCGAAAGGAAGGUCAAUGUGAAGAUUCUUUCCGCUUGGCAUUCUGGUCCUUUCUUGGGAAUGUCACAGGAGGACUAUAAUAUUGAUGAAGAAGCUGCAUUGCAGGCUGCAUUGGCGCUCUCCCUCUCGGAGAACUGACGGCGACUGCUGAGCAGCGGUGUGGAUCCUUUGCACAGGUCGCCUUUCCGCUAGGAGAAGUGUGACACUUGUUCAUCCCGCUGCAUCCCCUAGAGAUUAGGCCGCCCAUCUCUGUUUAAAUCACACCUUGUUUAAUAAGGUGGAAUCUUUUGUUGCACAAUGAAACGGUGAGCGAGCAUGAUCUGGUGAGAGUGACCCCUGCUGGAUGGGAAGAGGCAAAGGUGACCUUACCAAAUGUUUGUUUUUUCCAAUUGGGCAUUUCAUAUCCAUAUACGGAGUAUAUAUCUAUAUCUAUUUAUUAUUAGAUGCUUUUUGGCACCGUUGCUCCUCAUAUUUGUUGCAGUUAAUGGGUACGUAAAACAAUAAUGCAUUUUAUGUAAAAUGCCCUAGUUUUCAAUUCUUAUCAACCAUGGGGUUUUGAGUUUUUUUUUUUUUAAAGCGUUGAGCGUUUUUUAACCUUGUAAGAGUAUUUAUUGAGAUGUUGGCCCUCCACCCUCCCGAGGGCAUGAGCAGUCUGUUGCUCAGCUCUGUUGCCACUGCUCAGGGACGGCCAGAGGCAACGAAGUGCAUUGGGCUAAAUCUGGGCGCGAACCUGCUGCGCUCUGAGACCAUGAUGACAGGUCUAUUAAAAAGAGCUAGGUAGAAAUGGGAAGGAAUCCUGAACUGUCCUGCCACUGGCAUUCUUUCCCCUUGCUCAUUUUGUACUGGCUUUUGUGAUACUAGAGUUCUUGCAUUUUUUUACAUUAAGCAGUGUGAGACCUUUUCACGUUUUAUAGAGCAAAAAUCAAAACAGUUACUCUUCAUAUUGCAAUAUUUGUGUUUGACUAGGAACAAUAGUAUUUUUAUGGAACCUUAUUAAGAAAAAAAUUAUAUUUUUUAAACACAUGCUGUGGAUUCAAGAACUGGGGGGUGGGGUGGGGAACUGCUGGAACCUGGAAAUGAGAAGGGGCUCUUUUCCAUUCACGCCUGAGCAACAGAAAGGUUGCAUUGUUUUGUAUUUAUUUUUUGUGUUUAUGGUUUUUUUGCUUUUGUGUCUUUUUUUUUUUUUUUUUCCUUUCCCCCUCCCCGUCCCUCCACCCCCAUGAUGAUGCUGAUGUGCAGCCAUGCUGGAUCAGCCAUGUGACCCAAGGAUGGGAGGGCGGUACUCGGAGUUACUCACCAGGCAUUAACAGGGGUAUUGGUCAAUGGAUCAAAUCCACUUCUGAAAGAAAAUAAAAAACUGUGAAUUAGCUACAAGCUGUAUGCGUCUCCCAGAUGCAAAGCCCUGUGAGUUGUUCAGCAGAGGCGGUGUUCUCUGGGGCAACAGCCCCAUUAGCAUUAUCAAGGAGCAGGCCAGUUAGCGUCUUGACUCCAGGCUGUUCAUUUGCUUCUGGUAUGGAUGGGCUGUUUGGCUAGGAUUGUGAGGAGGCUGAUCUGGUCCUAGCUUGGCAGAGCUCAGUUCAGCAGUGGUCUGGUGUUUAAAAGUGCAUGCAGUACAGCAUGACAAGCAGGCUGCCUUCCAAUAUUAGUACUAACUUUAGGUCUCUUAAAGCUUUUGAUUAAUCUAUGAGUUCUAAUGUGUGUGAAUAUGGCACUUAUAGUGUGCAAAUAUAGCCUUGGGCUGUGGCAUGUAAACUGUAGUUAGGGACUCACUUAGAUUCUAGUCACCUAUGGAGAGGGAAACCGAUGCUCUUCAGCAGCCGCCCAGAGAUUGAUUGAGUCUCCAUGAUCCUGAGGCAAAGAUUUGGGAGCUGACCGGGAGUGAUACCAGUCGGAUAAUUUAUAAUAAAUGUCAUGCCCCAGAUUUUUUUUCUGUUACAACUGUUAAUUUUACAGCAUUAAUCCUUAUAAGAACGCGACUGCAAAACUCUCCAUUGGGUGUGAGUUAAACCCGCAUCUGGUGCUGGCUCUGUCUGAGGACAGGACCACACCGACUCAAACAGCCCUUUGUCUGAGGCAUGGCAGGUCCUGAAAUCAGAUAGAAGAGCGAGAUCUGUUUGUAACUGACCAUACGUCUGUGGGGUGGCUGAAACUUAGACCUAGCUGCAUGCAUUCUUCCUGGGGGCCAGGAGGCUGUCUGGGCAUGCUCAGGUCCACGCUUUGCUGUAGUGUAGAAUCAGACCUGCUUAGUCCUUCAGCGCUGUGAAGAUCACUUCCUCGUUUGCUCCUCGCAGGGUGCAGGCGCCUCUCUGGGAAUAGGGAAGAUCUGACCAAAGGUUUGGGCUGAUCCUGUUUUUAAGGGAGUGGAAAUUCAUUUUGGAAUAGUAUGGCUAGCAAUGCUGGGAAACAGAAUGACUGGAGAAGGGUGCCCUCUCCAUGGCAGGGAGAAGUGUGUAUUCAGUUAACUUGUCCAGCCAGCAUGGUUUGGAAGGAAGUGCUGGGGGUUUUGACAGUGUCUAGUUUCUGCUCAGGUCUGUGACUUAAAGGUCAUUGGUGAUGUUGCAUUGACUGUCUUUCAAUGGGCCUGUGUAACACUGGUUUAAUCCUUGUACUGACCUGAGGCCUGACAUUCCCCACCUUAGAUGCCAAGCCUCAGACCGAUUCUGCACACAGCCCCUUUCUUCCCAGCCAAGGAGAACUGGCCGCUUGUCACUCGCCAGUUCCCAUCCUUAACUGGCCUCCGGGAUCCCCAUUGCUGGGUCCUCCUUUCUAUAGGGACUGGACAUCCUACUCUGCAGCACAAAACAAAUAAAACAAAACAAAGUUCCUGGCUGGUAUCCACAAGCCUCUCUGUUGAUGAGCUCUGGGGAAGAGUCCUGUGGGAGGCAGGGCAAAGUCCAUCUAGGACCAUUUCAUUUCCCAUCUGCUAAGAGACAUCCUGUAGCUUCCCGAGCUAUAAACACAAAACGGGUAAAUCACGUACAUUCCUGCUUAGCGAGCUGGAACCCAGCACCUGCCACUUCCAGGGACCUGGGAGCUUUUCUCCUCCAGUGCCCCGGGAGGGGAAGUCAUGGUCAGGAGCACAACCCAGCAAUAGAUAACUUGUCCACUCAUAACCUGCUGUGAAAUGUGAAGGGGCAGGAUUCAUCAGGUGCUGCGAUUCGCUCAUCCCAUGGGUGUUUGGGUGACACUGUACUUUCACAUUCAGGGUGCUUAAAGCCAGAAAAGGCCAUUAGAACCUCUAGUCUGAUCUAUGUAAUGUAGGCCAUUAAACUUGUCCAAGCAUGAGGCGUUGUGUGGCUGGUGGCCAUGUGUGGGCCUCUUGGAAGGGGACCUUUCCUCCAUCCAUCUGUUCCUGCUUUAGCCGUUUUGUUUUCUGGCUCUGUGCCUGGUUCCUGUUCCUUCCCAUCACAGUUGAAAUCAGCCUCGUCACUGGGUCACUUUUUUGUUCUCUAUUUGCUCUUUUAUCCUGUGAUCUUUGUUAUUUGCCACCUGACCUACCUUGAAUCCUUCCAUCUGCAGCAGUGCAGGAGGCUAUCCUAUAACCCCACCCCAGGGAAGGAGCAUUGCAGCUUGCUGACCUUCCUGCCUUUGAUCUCCCAAUAUGGACACAUUGUGCUACUAAAGUUCCUGGCUUAUGGUGGUCCAAUCUCAAGCACACUGGCAGAAGGCCACUUGGUGCUGUGGGACCUUGUGGAGGGAUCCCCUCGUUUUCUUAGGUGGGAAUCUCCAUCUCCAAACCCUUAUUUAUCAUCUUUGGACCUUUGCUCUAGCACGCACGGUUAACCCUUUCUCCAGAAUUGCUGAGGGGCUCUGCUUGCCUCUGGUUUGCCCACUGACUCCUUUUCCCUUUGUUGCAAAGCAGCUGCCACCUUCCCAACAUGCUAGAACACAACCUACUUUGCACCGCACUUUGAUAGUCUGGGACCAAUUGCAGGCAGUAGCAUUGGUACAUUCCCUCUGAGGGAUAGGGUGCUCUGCUGGGUGAAAGCACGACUUUGCACUGAUGCCUGUGGACUCUCAGGGUGUGCAUGGCAGCUAGCUAAUCUCCUGGCGUUUGGGAGCUGGCUUGUGCAGACCUUCCUUUCAGCAUUGCUCUGGCUGCGUGAUACUCGCCAUCUGACACCAAACCGUCGCUGCGAGCUGUUCCACAGCCAUGCCAAAUCGUCUUAGGGGUGAUAGUUUAAACAUCUCAGUAGCCACUUCAUUCCAAGCUGGAAGCUUAGUUUGUAAGUGGGUUACCUACCAACAUAGCUGAAUGCAAUUACCUACUGCAAACCCAGGGACUGAUGGAAACUGCCCCCAAAUCACUGCCUUUGAAUGUAAGAUGAGAUCAGAAUGGGAAAUUCCCCAGUACAGUGCUGUUAACCUUGCUUGUUUUGCUUCACUUAGAUGGGAAGGGUUAGGGAAGGAGGUUUUGUUGAUCUAGCCUUAAAACCCAGCCAUCUGCCAGCAGGCUGUUUGUCCUGGGUUUGAAUCUGUACUGCUGCAGGUGCAACGUAAAGAGGGCAGUGGAAAUAUAAUCCAGAGGGCUUUUCUCAAAUGAGAGCCUUCUACCUUUCACAGACGUCAGAUCUCAUCUGUUCCCAUUUCUCUUCCAGCAGUAUUAAGCUGCAGAGCUUACAUACCUUUAUAGUAUAUAAGCUUUAAUAAACCUACCUAACUUUUCUUUUCUUAAUGUAGUAUAUAGAAUGGGGUCCAGUUUUGCACUGGCUUUCAAGGCAUGGGGAGUGGGGAGGGUGUCUGAGUCUUGUCUUAAUGUAAAUUGUGUCUAACAGAAAAUGGGAGUUUUGCCAGGAGGAAUAUUUUACUUAUGGCUUGAGGCUGGAUGUGCUUGAUCUCUGUUCAAAGUGGUGGCGCAGGACUGUGAAACGCAAACCUCGUGCUGGGAACAGGAAUGGCAAUGAGUUGGCCAGUGUGAUGAGGAAGAAUCAGAACCAUAAACCUUGUUAACUUUCUCUAGGCCUGUCUCACCCCAACCUGCCAGGUGACAAAUUGCCUUAACUUUUGUUCCUAUCAUGGAGUUUGUUCCUAUCUUUGUAUUGUUUGCUGUCUUGUUAUAACAAGCCGAAUCCUCUAGGGGGAGCAACAAUUACACACUUGCUAGGGGAAGCCUGUCUAGUAUAUAUCUUAAGUGCUGCAUUUUGUCAUUACCCUUGAGAUGCCGUUGGAAAAAGCCCCGUGCUUUGCUGAAGCCAUGCGCAUCUUACAGUGAAAUGUGUAAAUGUCUCUGGAAUGUGUGCUGUCAUGCAAGAAAUAUUCAUGUGCUACCGUAGAAGUCUUGUUUGCCAUAGGUUCAAUUGCACUUGUGAGGCAACAAGGAUUAGUGGUUAGAGCAGGGAGCUGAAAGCCAAGACACUCGAGUCUGUCUCUACUACUCCACUCACUAGCUGGGUGACCUGGGGCAAGUCACUUAAUCUUUGUGCCUCCUAAUCUGUGUUUCCCUACCUGAGCAAUACCCACCUUAGGGAUUAUUUGGGGGUGAUGCCCACCUCUGUAAAGUGCUAGGGGAUCCUCAUAUGAAAGGUGCUAUAGAAAUGGGAAAUAUCACCUUUCAAAAUCAGCUGAGUGUCGUAAGAACAGUUCAUUUUUCAACUGUAUAAUUGUUGAGAUCUCUUUACCUAAGCAAUUUGGUGAUGUUUGUAAAUCAUUCACUCUGUGCUCAAAAUGGCUGUUCGUUUCCAGCUGGCUAAUCUGGACUUGCUAAAUGAGGGAACUGUGCUGAAGCAAGGCCGUCUUUCAAUGCAUGCCGGUAUAUUGGUGGUGUGCAAUAUACUAUAUCAAUAUUUUCAGUGGAAAUACACAGAGAUGCUAUCGAGUACACGAACGUCAAUGGCAUAUGGCUCUCAGACCUGCAACGCACCACGGCCUGCAAGAGAAAAGAGUUUUUUCAUACGAUACAGCUCUAGCAGCAUCUCCAUGGGUGACUUUAGGUUUAUGUGGCACCUUCAUACUCCAGGUGUCCUGAAGCUCUUCCCACUGGAGUGAGUGAAACAUUGGCAGGUGCAGCAGCUGUUCUGCCCUCUGCAGUUGCCCAAAUGUGAAGGGAGAAUGCUGGCCAGGGUUCUGGAGUUGUGGAAAAACUCUUUGAAGCAGAUGGGGAGCAGCCGUCAGAUAUGGGCAGAAAGGCCCUUGAUGGACUGUCUCAGCCAAAGGUUGCUAACGGGGCACACCAAGUCACCAUGUGGUGUUCAGCUGAAAUAGCAGCUGCCGCUUGGGAGAAUCUCCAGGGUGGGUGGCUGUGAGGAACUCCCUGUGCAAGGACAGUGUGUCUCAGCUAGUACUCGGUGGAUUAGCACAACGCUCAGGAGCCCAGCCCUUAAAAGGCCUAUGUUUAAGUUCACUCAUUCCCAUUCUGGGUCCAUCUUAACCUUUAAACACUGAUCCGUACCGAUCAGUUUGUUGUGAAUGUCUUCGCUUCUCAUCCUGCUCACCCAAAAUCCAGGCAGGGGAGGGAGUGGGUUAGCGUUCAUCAACCACACUGAGAUGUAGGAGGUGGCUGCCUUCUAGUCCAGAAGCCAUCCUCUCCCAGGAUUGCUUUGUGUCCGACUGGGGCCUGAGAGAACUUUCAGCAGUGCCAUUGGCUUUUGAUGGGACUCAGGCUCUCUUGAAAGUUUUGCUCUACAUUCCUAGUUUGAAGAGCGCAAUUUCGGGGCUUAACCAAGGUACUUCCCUGCACCCUGUUAUCCGAGUUUUAGGCUCACACUCUAGUAAUACAGGAUUUUUACCACCUCAGUCUAAAUAGUAACAGAAAAUAUUGCAAUGCAUGUUUGCUCCCGAGUGGCUAGCUGUCCCUCCCCCACCCUCUCACCCGGAGGAACCUGCAGUCAUCUGUACAACACAUGAGCAAAGGGCAAACCCUUAGCAGAGGCUGCUCUGAGGAGUUUCCUGAGUUGGGAGUUAGUCAUGUGGGACUGCCUGGGAGACGUGAAUAAAACCAUAGGCCCCCUGGCUCCCUGAGGAUUUCUUCCUAGCUGGUCACUGCACUUUUGCCCUGGGGACAGUUAACUGGAUUUCCUGAAGAUUAUGGUACCUCCUUGCAAUAUAUGCUCUCUCCAGGAAGAAAGGAGUUGAUGUACAACCUGGGAAGAGUCUGGUUUUCCUGUUUAUGCCAGUCCAGUAUCCGGAUCACUGCCCCUGGCCUGUACUGUUGCGUAACUACUGUACUGUUGGGUCCCAUGUAUAAAGAGCUCAUGCUGCUUUGUGGCCAAGUCUGUGCCACUUCUUAGCUCCUUCUGAAAGGGACUUUGCCCAGAAGGGGGGCAGGGGGUGGCAUCCUGAGCGGGUUGCUGGCGAGGACCCCUUUCUGUGGUAUAAAUUAUGAAUGGCAGCAUUUAUUGGCCCAAGAUUUGAACUGGAGGUGGGGAAGGGGAAGGUGCAACAGAUGCUAGCAAGGCAGCAUGGCUCUGUGGAUAGACUUGUGGGGCUGGGAGUGGAGGCUUGAGUUCGAUCCCUGGCUCCUCCUGUAUGAUCUUCAACAAGCCACUUCUCUGUGCCUCAGUUUCCCCAGCUCUGUAGCAGGGGCAAUGAUACCUGCUUUUGUAAAGCACUUCAAGGCUAUGGAUGAAAAGCCCGAUAUAUGUGCUAAGUGGAUAUUUACUAUGCUCCCUUUGCAUCAGUUAUGUGUAAUAACAUAAACUAAAGGGGUUUACAUUCAGAAUUCCAUGUGGCACAGCGAAUCACCAGACUUCUUCCCCUUGAACUCCUGAUUCUGCUCGAGAUGCGAGACUGUUGGGCCCACGGUUCUGGGUGUAGGCAGAGGAGUCCCCCGUGUUGCCUGUUCUCUGUCGGGUUUGGCAUUGGUGACCGUCAUGCUGUUCAGUGUGGUGUUGUGACUGGUUUGCAUAUGAAUAGAACUUUUAACGAGACGUACUGUUUUUUGAAGAAAAAAUCAAUGAUGUAUUUGUAGCAAACCAUUUUUCUCAAUAAAUGCAGUUUCAUCCA